rnacentral:lncRNA from 1 species
GCUGCGCACUUCGGUCUUUUACGUCGGCCUUCGCGAGCGUCUGGGCGGGUGGUAGGAACAAUGGCGCUGUCUUCAGUGGCACAGUGGAGCAGCUCUGAAGAUGCAAAGGUAAGAGCUUAGUUAAGCUUAGUUUCCAAACUAAAGGAGUAAACCUGUUGAUUUACAGGAAUAGGAACUGUUGCAUCGUUUGAAAUUUACUUUUUUUUGUUAGAUACACGAAAAAACUUCCAGAACAUCUGGGAGAAUAUUUAAUGGAAAAUCGCUUGGUUAAAACCUGACACUUUUAACAGUGAACAGCGUUCUGAGUGUGGACGAGUAGCCAGUGAAGAUAAUGAAUGUCGAAUGUGACUGACUAGCAGCUUCAUUUUGAAUGAGGGUCGCUGUCUGCCCAUUGAUAGAGGCCAGAUUGUCUUGGAAGUUCCAAAGUUGCAACGAUUUCUGGCUAGUGCCACGAGGUUUACUUGACUGUUGUGUGAAAAGCUGAUAAGAAAACCAUCCAGAAAAAAGCUCUUCGUUUUACAAACAUGAAAAUAAAACAUGUAAUUUUGGAUUA